rnacentral:rRNA from 1 species
AGAGUUUGAUCCUGGCUCAGGACGAACGCUGGCGGCGUGCUUAACACAUGCAAGUCGAACGAUGAAGCCCUUCGGGGUGGAUUAGUGGCGAACGGGUGAGUAACACGUGGGCAAUCUGCCCUUCACUCUGGGACAAGCCCUGGAAACGGGGUCUAAUACCGGAUAACACCUGCCCGGGCAUCCGGGUGGGUUAAAAGCUCCGGCGGUGAAGGAUGAGCCCGCGGCCUAUCAGCUUGUUGGUGAGGUAGUGGCUCACCAAGGCGACGACGGGUAGCCGGCCUGAGAGGGCGACCGGCCACACUGGGACUGAGACACGGCCCAGACUCCUACGGGAGGCAGCAGUGGGGAAUAUUGCACAAUGGGCGAAAGCCUGAUGCAGCGACGCCGCGUGAGGGAUGACGGCCUUCGGGUUGUAAACCUCUUUCAGCAGGGAAGAAGCGAAAGUGACGGUACCUGCAGAAGAAGCGCAGGCUAACUACGUGCCAGCAGCCGCGGUAAUACGUAGGGCGCAAGCGUUGUCCGGAAUUAUUGGGCGUAAAGAGCUCGUAGGCGGCUUGUCACGUCGGGUGUGAAAGCCCGGGGCUUAACCCCGGGUCUGCAUUCGAUACGGGCUAGCUAGAGUGUGGUAGGGGAGAUCGGAAUUCCUGGUGUAGCGGUGAAAUGCGCAGAUAUCAGGAGGAACACCGGUGGCGAAGGCGGAUCUCUGGGCCAUUACUGACGCUGAGGAGCGAAAGCGUGGGGAGCGAACAGGAUUAGAUACCCUGGUAGUCCACGCCGUAAACGGUGGGAACUAGGUGUUGGCGACACUCCACGUCGUCGGUGCCGCAGCUAACGCAUUAAGUUCCCCGCCUGGGGAGUACGGCCGCAAGGCUAAAACUCAAAGGAAUUGACGG